AUAACUAUUGGAAACGAUAGCUAAUACCGCAUAAUCUCUUCGGAGCAAAGAGGGGGACCUUCGGGCCUCUCGCGUCAGGAUUAGCCCAGGUGGGAUUAGCUAGUUGGUGGGGUAAUGGCUCACCAAGGCGACGAUCCCUAGCUGGUCUGAGAGGAUGAUCAGCCACACUGGAACUGAGACACGGUCCAGACUCCUACGGGAGGCAGCAGUGGGGAAUAUUGCACAAUGGGGGAAACCCUGAUGCAGCCAUGCCGCGUGUAUGAAGAAGGCCUCGGGUUGUAAAGUACUUUCAGUUGUGAGGAAGGCAGUUAAGUUAAUAGCUUGGCUGUUUGACGUUAGCAACAGAAGAAGCACCGGCUAACUCCGUGCCAGCAGCCGCGGUAAUACGGAGGGUGCGAGCGUUAAUCGGAAUUACUGGGCGUAAAGCGCAUGCAGGCGGUCUGUUAAGCAAGAUGUGAAAGCCCGGGGCUCAACCUCGGAACAGCAUUUUGAACUGGCAGACUAGAGUCUUGUAGAGGGGGGUAGAAUUUCAGGUGUAGCGGUGAAAUGCGUAGAGAUCUGAAGGAAUACCGGUGGCGAAGGCGG
rnacentral:rRNA from 1 species